rnacentral:piRNA from 1 species
UAGAAACUGCCUGUGAGGUCUAACAAAGGU